AGGAAGUAAAAGUCGUAACAAGGUCUCCGUUGGUGAACCAGCGGAGGGAUCAUUACCGAGUUUUCAACUCCCAAACCCUUAUGUGAACCUACCUAUCGUUGCUUCGGCGGACUCGCCCCAGCCGGACGCGGACUGGACCAGCGGCCGCCGGGGACCAUCAAACUCUUGUAUUAUCAGCAUCUUCUGAAUACGCCGCAAGGCAAAACAAAUAAAUUAAAACUUUCAACAACGGAUCUCUUGGCUCUGGCAUCGAUGAAGAACGCAGCGAAAUGCGAUAAGUAAUGUGAAUUGCAGAAUCCAGUGAAUCAUCGAAUCUUUGAACGCACAUUGCGCCCGCCAGCAUUCUGGCGGGCAUGCCUGUUCGAGCGUCAUUUCAACCCUCGACCUCCCUUUGGGGAAGUCGGCGUUGGGGACCGGCAGCACACCGCCGGCCCUGAAAUGGAGUGGCGGCCCGUCCGCGGCGACCUCUGCGUAGUAAACCAACUCGCACCGGAACCCCGACGUGGCCACGCCGUAAAAC
rnacentral:misc_RNA from 1 species